UACGAAGGGGGGCUAGCGUUGUUCGGAUUUACUGGGCGUAAAGCGCACGUAGGCGGAUCGUUAAGUCGGGGGUGAAAUCCUGGAGCUCAACUCCAGAACUGCCUUCGAUACUGGCGAUCUUGAGUCCGGAAGAGGUGAGUGGAACUCCUAGUGUAGAGGUGGAAUUCGUAGAUAUUAGGAAGAACACCAGUGGCGAAGGCGGCUCACUGGUCCGGUACUGACGCUGAGGUGCGAAAGCGUGGGGAGCAACAGGG
rnacentral:rRNA from 1 species